rnacentral:rRNA from 1 species
UUCCAUAACGAACGAGACCUUAACCUGCUAAAUAGCCAGGCCGGCUUUCGCUGGUCGCCGGCUUUUUAGAGGGACUGUCAGCGUCUAGCUGACGGAAGUUUGAGGCAAAAACAGGUCUGUGAUGCCCUUAGAAGUUUUGGGCCGCACGCGCGCUACACUGACAGAGCCAGCGAGUUUUUUUCCCUUGGCCGGAAGGUCUGGGUAAUCUUGUGAAACUCUGUCGUGCUGGGGAUAGAGCAUUGCAAUUAUUGCUCUUCAACGAGGAAUACCUAGUAAGCGUGAGUCAUCAGCUCGCGUUGAUUACGUCCC